AGUGAACGCUGGCGGUAGGCCUAACACAUGCAAGUCGAACGGCAGCACAGUAAGAGCUUGCUCUUACGGGUGGCGAGUGGCGGACGGGUGAGGAAUCCAUCGGAAUCUACUUUUUCGUGGGGGAUAACGUAGGGAAACUUACGCUAAUACCGCAUACGACCUACGGGUGAAAGCAUGGGAUCUUCGGACCUUGCGCGAUUGAAUGAGCCGAUGUCGGAUUAGCUAGUUGGCGGGGUAAAGGCCCACCAAGGCGACGAUCCGUAGCUGGUCUGAGAGGAUGAUCAGCCACACUGGAACUGAGACACGGUCCAGACUCCUACGGGAGGCAGCAGUGGGGAAUAUUGUACAAUGGGCGCAAGCCUGAUCCAGCCAUACCGCGUGGGUGAAGAAGGCCUUCGGGUUGUAAAGCCCUUUUGUUGGGAAAGAAAAGCAGCAGGUUAAUACCCCGCUGUUCUGACGGUACCCAAAGAAUAAGCACCGGCUAACUUCGUG
rnacentral:rRNA from 1 species